rnacentral:rRNA from 1 species
UGCGUAGGCGGUUUUGUUAGUCGGAUGUGAAAUCCCCGGGCUUAACCUGGGAACUGCAUUCGAUACUGCAUAACUAGAGUAUGGUAGAGGGAAGUGGAAUUCCGGGUGUAGCGGUGAAAUGCGUAGAUAUCCGGAGGAACACCAGUGGCGAAGGCGACUUCCUGGGCCAAUACUGACGCUGAGGUGCGAAAGCGUGGGGAGCAAACA